CUAAAAUUACCUAUUCAGGGGCAGCAACCUAACAACAGGUUGUCCGAUUCAUCUGAAAAUUUCAGGACAGAUAGAUCUUGACCUGAUUAACACUUUUACCACAUGUCAGAUUUGCUCUAAAAGCUUUGGUUUUUGAGUUAUAAGCCAAAAACUGCAUUUUACCCCUAUGUUCUAUUUUUAGCCAUGGCGGCCAUCUUGGUUGGUUGGCCGGGUCAGGCCACACAUUUUUUAAACUAGAUAUCCCAAAGAUGAUUGUGGCCAAGUUUUGAUUAAUUUGGCCCAGUAGUUUCAGAGGAGAAGAUUUUUGUAAAAGAUUACUAAGAUUUAUGAAAAAAUGGUUAAAAAUUGACUAUAAAGGUCAAUAACUCCUAAAGGGGUCAACUAACCAUUUUGGUCAUGUUGACUUAUUUGUAAAUCUUACUUUGCUGAACAUUAUUGCUG
rnacentral:lncRNA from 1 species